AUAUCUCCUAUACUGCUGUACCGUUGCUGUACACGGUACUCGCAAUCUUGACUAUUCUCUACUCUAACGUAUUCAGGACUUGAAGGAGAGUGUUGAUAUUGAGUUGAAGAUUGAAUGGAGAUUGUUGUUCUCAACCCUGGAGUUGACAACCUGUUAGUUUGGAGCUGAAGAGGUGUAUGCUGAACCUGGGGUGAGAGCCAAAUAUUCUCAAACCAGGAAACAAAUACCCUCCUGAUCUCGUGAGCUCUGGUCAGAACGAUGACAGAAGUGAACCUUCGGAGAUAAGGGGAUCCGGUUAAAUAAACAGUCUCGUCAAGAAAUAUACCUACGUGGACGGUGCUCCACCCACUCAGUCGAUGCACCAAAUUUUCCACCGCAAGACGUGCUUUCCCUGUUCCUAGACAAUAAAUGAACUGUGGAUAUUUACAGAAAGAAGCGUGUGAGAAAUGGGUUUAUGUUUAUGUUAGGAUUAUUUUCAGGACUCCUGGCGGAGUAUAUAAGAAAAUUUCCGAUUGUUGUCAUGAUAUUCAAAUGAUUGCAUAUAUCCCAUUAAUAUACAGAUUAUAUUAUAUUCAAUGAUUACGAAUAUGAGUAUGACGACUGAGCCUGCGUCCAGCAUUUGGCGUGAGGACCUGGCCCGACCUAAUUGAAAAUUAGGUGAGAAAUGCACAAUUAGGCAACAGACAGUAAAAAUUCCGUACAAUCGUCGUUGAAAUCUCAUUCUUUGUGGGUAACCCUGUAUAUUGAACUUUAACAGAUAGAUUCAAUUUCCUUCAAAUCAAAAAAUUGAA